rnacentral:rRNA from 1 species
CUGAGUACGGCGGAACACGUGAAAUUCCGUCGGAAUCCGGGAGGACCAUCUCCCAAGGCUAAAUACUCCCUAGUGACCGAUAGUGAACCAGUACCGUGAGGGAAAGGUGAAAAGCACCCCGGAAGGGGAGUGAAACAGUUCCUGAAACCGUGUGCCUACAAGUAGUUAGAGCCCGUUAAUGGGUGAUAGCGUGCCUUUUGUAGAAUGAACCGGCGAGUUACGAUUUGUUGCAAGGUUAAGCGGAAAAAGCGGAGCCGUAGCGAAAGCGAGUCUGAAUAGGGCGCAUAAGUAACAGGUCGUAGACCCGAAACCAGGUGAUCUACCCAUGUCCAGGAUGAAGGUAAGGUAAUACUUACUGGAGGUCCGAACCCACGCACGUUGAAAAGUGCGGGGAUGAGGUGUGGGUAGCGGAGAAAUUCCAAUCGAACUUGGAGAUAGCUGGUUCUCUCCGAAAUAGCUUUAGGGCUAGCCUCGAGGUAAAGAGUCAUGGAGGUAGAGCACUGUUUGGACUAGGGGCCCUUCUCGGGUUACCGAAUUCAGAUAAACUCCGAAUGCCAUGUACUUAUACUCGGGAGUCAGACUGCGAGUGAUAAGAUCCGUAGUCGAAAGGGAAACAGCCCAGACCACCAGUUAAGGUCCCCAAAUAUAUGUUAAGUGGAAAAGGAUGUGGGGUUGCUUAGACAACCAGGAUGUUGGCUUAGAAGCAGCCACCAUUGAAAGAGUGCGUAAUAGCUCACUGGUCGAGUGACCCCGCGCCGAAAAUGUACCGGGGCUAAACAUAUUACCGAAACUGUGGAUGAACCUCUUUAGAGGUUCGUGGUAGGAGAGCGUUCUAAGGGCGGUGAAGUCAGACCGGAAGGACUGGUGGAGCGCUUAGAAGUGAGAAUGCCGGUAUGAGUAGCGAAAGAAGGGUGAGAAUCCCUUCCACCGAAUAUCUAAGGUUUCCUGAGGAAGGCUCGUCCGCUCAGGGUUAGUCGGGACCUAAGCCGAGGCCGAUAGGCGUAGGCGAUGGACAACAGGUAGAGAUUCCUGUACCAGUGCUAAUUGUUUAACCGAUGGGGUGACACAGAAGGAUAGGGAAUCGCACGAAUGGAAAUGUGCGUCCAAGCAGUGAGUGUGAGAAGUAGGCAAAUCCGCUUCUCGCGAAGCAUGAGCUGUGAUGGGGAAGGAAAUUAAGUACGGAAGUUCCUGAUUUCACGCUGUCAAGAAAAGCCUCUAGGAAGAGUAGUACUGCCCGUACCGCAAACCGACACAGGUAGAUGAGGAGAGAAUCCUAAGGUGAGCGAGAGAACUCUCGUUAAGGAACUCGGCAAAAUGACCCCGUAACUUCGGGAGAAGGGGUGCUCUAUUAGGGUGCAAGCCCGAGAGAGCCGCAGUGAAUAGGCCCAGGCGACUGUUUAGCAAAAACACAGGUCUCUGCAAAACCGUAAGGUGACGUAUAGGGGCUGACGCCUGCCCGGUGCUGGAAGGUUAAGAGGAGUGCUUAGCUUCGGCGAAGGUACGAAUUGAAGCCCCAGUAAACGGCGGCCGUAACUAUAACGGUCCUAAGGUAGCGAAAUUCCUUGUCGGGUAAGUUCCGACCCGCACGAAAGGCGCAACGAUCUGGGCACUGUCUCAACGAGAGACUCGGUGAAAUUAUAGUACCUGUGAAGAUGCAGGUUACCCGCGACAGGACGGAAAGACCCCGUGGAGCUUUACUGCAACCUGAUAUGGAAUGUUUGUACCGCUUGUACAGGAUAGGUAGGAGCCGAAGAGACGUGUGCGCUAGCAUACGAGGAGGCAAUGGUGGGAUACUACCCUGGCUGUAUGACCAUUCUAACCCGCCACGCUUAGCGCGUGGGGAGACAGUGUCAGGUGGGCAGUUUGACUGGGGCGGUCGCCUCCUAAAGAGUAACGGAGGCGCCCAAAGGUUCCCUCAGAAUGGAUGGAAAUCAUUCGCAGAGUGUAAAGGCACAAGGGAGCUUGACUGCGAGACUGACAAGUCGAGCAGGGACGAAAGUCGGGCUUAGUGAUCCGGUGGUUCCGCAUGGAAGGGCCAUCGCUCAACGGAUAAAAGCUACCCCGGGGAUAACAGGCUUAUCUCCCCCAAGAGUCCACAUCGACGGGGAGGUUUGGCACCUCGAUGUCGGCUCGUCGCAUCCUGGGGCUGUAGUCGGUCCCAAGGGUUGGGCUGUUCGCCCAUUAAAGCGGCACGCGAGCUGGGUUCAGAACGUCGUGAGACAGUUCGGUCCCUAUCCGUCGCGGGCGCAGGAAAUUUGAGAGGAGCUGUCCUUAGUACGAGAGGACCGGGAUGGACACACCGCUGGUGUACCAGUUGUUCCGCCAGGAGCAUCGCUGGGUAGCUAUGUGUGGCAGGGAUAAACGCUGAAAGCAUCUAAGCGUGAAGCCCCCCUCAAGAUGAGAUUUCCCAUUUCUUCGGAAAGUAAGAUCCCUGAAAGAUGAUCAGGUAGAUAGGUUUGGAGUGGAAGUGUAGCGAUACAUGGAGCGGACAAAUACUAAUCGAUCGAGGACU